rnacentral:snoRNA from 1 species
CUAUAGCUAAUUAAGCUGACCAUGCUCCUUACCUCAUGGGGGCCUGGUGUAAUGGGUAGUGUAUGCAGCCUGUUGCUUGUAUAGGUUGUGUUAAGGGAUCUAAGAGACAGUC